AAACAGCUAUGGGACACGGCCCGUGACUCUGGUCUAUAUGCGCCCCCCCUUGUAUCUCUAGGAGCAGGCUAGCCGGCGGGGGAGGGGGAUUCAGCAGGGGCAGAGCGGCCGAGGGAACCCGAUCCUGAGCGAGACGCAGGAGGUUCUGGUGCGGCGAGGAGGCACCGGGACGGGCGGGCCGCCGGGGAAAUCCAGCGCCAGGCGGCAGCGGGCACCGCCGCCCUUGACAUCUCGCCCAGCCGGCCAUUGCACGGAUCUAUCGAAGGCCAGAUUGGAAACAGGGUUGGGGCAGCAAUAGAUCUCAGGUGUUCAUCUGUAAUCCGUCAUCAUGCAGUUAGGCUUUUGGGGUGUAUGGGACGGGCCAAGGUGCAAGUGGGCACCGGCACAAGUUUCGUCACCGGGGAAAUCCAGCGUCGGGGCACAGCGCGCACCGCCUGGCAAGACACACCGCGCCGUCGGCCAUUGGACGGAUUCAACACAGAAUUACAGCAAGCUUAACAAGCUGGCCACGAUCCUGGAAGAAGAUGAGUCAGACAGGGGCGACGGGCAUAACGGUCCUACUUUCAGAUGUUCAGUGCAGAAGGUUUACUCCGUUAUCUCACAGUUUGACCAGCAGAAACGAGACAUCAUUACAUCUAAGGGUUGGGGUGGCACUUUAUCCAUGCCACUAAUCGGCAAGCUAAGCAUCAGACAUAUGGUAUGGCUUUUAGGGAUGGUGGAUGAGGUCAGACACUGGAUAGGAGCGAGACUGUAUUUUCGUACUUGCGAGCUUGUUUGGGGAUAGAGAAUAAGGAGAUAAGAAGUUUGAAGAGUAUACAGUCCAUACUUGUGUGCUGUCGCUGUGAAGAUGAAGCAAGACAUUCGCAAGAAAACCACCGUGUCAAACAUAACAGGAUGUUUGCUUUUCUUACAGCAUCGAUCUGGGGGAGAUAAGCAUGGCACAUGAUGUGUUCCCCAGAAUAAAAGUUUUCACAGCAGAUAAAAUUAGAGCCAUGAUUAAUGCCGACAAACCGAUGGAUUCAAUGAGGAACAGAGAUUUCAUUUUUGGCAUUUCAACGGUUAGUGUCCAUCCUGUCCCAGAUAGGAUUCAUUUUAACACUGCCUCUUGAAAGAGAUGCGCUGUCAUCGACUUUGCAUAUGUUUUUCAGCCAACAGAUGCAGCUGGUUCAGCAUAUUCCGGGGCAGAUGACGGCUUUAUCGCACAGCAACAAGGGGAUGCUUGGGCAUGUGCAUCAAAGAUAUGUGAUUCUUUGAGCUUGUCACAUCAGGUUGAUGACAGAUGUUUGGCGCCAUAUAUGACAUUUUGCAUCUCAAGGGGAACAAUGCAAGGAGGCCGCAUCAAUUUUUUGAGUCUGUCGAUGAAUGAAUAAGAGUGCAAAGCCGAGUAACGACAGGAUGCUUGUUUUGGGCGCAAGCGUUGUAUGAUAAUGAUUUGGGUUGGCUAUGAAGACUGAUUUCUUCUGUCGUCAACCCAUGUAACGAACUUAAUGUCAGGUACAACUGCGGUUCUCGGACAUAACCAAUAUCGUAUUUGUUGGUAGGGAUAUCAAGUUAUGAAUGAACGGUUGUAGAUUUACAAGUUGAAAGUACUUUUGCAA